AGUGAACGCUGGCGGUAGGCCUAACACAUGCAAGUCGAACGGCAGCACAGUAAGAGCUUGCUCUUACGGGUGGCGAGUGGCGGACGGGUGAGGAAUACAUCGGAAUCUACUUUUUCGUGGGGGCUAACGUAGGGACACUUACGCUAAUACCGCAUACGACCUACGGGUGAAAGCAUGGGAUCUUCGGACCUUGCGCGAUUGAAUGAGCCGAUGUCGGAUUAGCUAGUUGGCGGGGUAAAGGCCCACCAAGGCGACGAUCCGUAGCUGGUCUGAGAGGAUGAUCAGCCACACUGGAACUGAGACACGGUCCAGACUCCUACGGGAGGCAGCAGUGGGGAAUAUUGGACAAUGGGCGCAAGCCUGAUCCAGCCAUACCGCGUGGGUGAAGAAGGCCUUCGGGUUGUAAAGCACUUUUGUUGGGAAAGAAAAGCAGCAGGUUAAUACCCCGCUGUUCUGACGGUACCAAAAGAAUAAGCACCGGCUAACUUCGUG
rnacentral:rRNA from 1 species